rnacentral:rRNA from 1 species
AUGCGCCAGAUCUUCCUGCGCCUACCGGCGGACGACCCCGGGAGCCUCGUCCGCGCCGCCGCCGUCUGCAGGCGCUGGUGCCGCAUCCUCUCCGACGCCGCCUUCGCCCGCGACUACCGCGCGUUCCGGCGGGCGCCGCCCAUGCUGGGCUUCCUCCACAACGAACGCCACCGGGAGUACAAACGAGUCAGCUAUUGGAUCUCCCACUUCGUCUCCACCGCCACCUUCAGCCCGCCGGCGUUCAAGGACCUCGAGGACCACCAAGUUCUCGACUCCCGGCACGGCCUCGUCCUCCUCCACGAAACGGGUGACGACUUUGUUGUCUACGACCUCGUCACCCACGACGACUGGGAAGUUCACGCAGACCCCAAGUGCCACGGCAUCAUGUGGUGGGAGGGCGACGAUCCUGCGUACAAGGGCAUACGCUGUAAUGCGGCAGUGCUUUGUGACAAGGACCUAUGUGACCACCUCGACUGCCAUGGCGGUCCUUUCCUCGUGGCCUUGGUGGGCUCCAACAAUGCAGAAGGUUCAAUGGCCCUCGCUACCGUCUACUCAUCAAAGACUGGUGAGUGGAGCGACAUGAUCUCUGUUCAUGUCCAUGAACCGGAUUUAAUCUAUGACAGGGCGCACAGUGCUGUUGUGGCCAAUAAGGUCUAUGUCCCCUGUGUGGAGAGUACCUCUGUCUUGGAGUACAACAUUGGUGAGCAAGAACUAUCAGUGAUCAGUGUGCCAUAUGAGGACCAGGACGAGAGCCAGCGUUACGUCUACCUCAUGGGGGUGGAGGACGGUAUGCUGCUGUUUGCGUCUGUGAUGAAGCAUAGACUCUAUCUAUGGUCAAUGGAGGCUGGUCCCAGCGGAGCUGCAGGAUGGGCGCGGCGCAGGUUCAUCGAGCUCAAACCAUUCUGCAGGAUGGACUCCCUCGUUCUGUCCUCCUGGACGAUUCGACUGUGUCAGCGGUUGGUUUUGCGGAAGGUGUUGGUGUCAUCUUCGUGA